UUGGAUGUUGGAAUUUAGACUCGGAAUUCAGAAUUGGAAUUGACAAACCCGAAUUCUGGUGUUUGGAUGGUCACAGUAUUUGGAAUUGGAAAUCCACCAAAUUCCGGCCGGUAUUCAACUCUACACACGCCUCCACUCUCCAAUUCCGACCCUCCACCCUCUGAUUUGCUCGGAAUUGAACUGGAUUUGGUAUUGGAUCCGAUUUCCAAAGCCAGGCUGAUUUGGUAUUGGAUCCAAUUCAAUUCCACCGUCUUCAAUUCCAACAUCCAAACGGAGCAUUAACUUAUUUUGCACGGUCUGCUGGUCACUACCUAAACAUGUCCUCUCCAUGCUUUCUGGGACUCUCCGUUCUACCCUUCCACUGCUCGGCGCUCGCACACCAGGUUCCAUAACACCGACCAGAUGUUCCGUGUCCGUAUGAUCGUAUUCGUAUCACACGCAACGAUGAACCAGACUCCGCGACAUCGGUUUUGCUAACGGCACUCUAGCCGCUCUCUCGCUGCAGUUCCGUGCCGCGGAGGCUCACAACACGUUUGAAGAAAUGCGCAGGAGCCAUGGGGUCAUCGUCCCAGUGGUGAUGGGUCAUGAUUCUUGCGGUAACCUGGCUCACUCAGGCUCUUCAUCGGUGACGCUCGUGCGAUCCCGGCAAUUUGCAACGGCCGUGGCCUCGUCACUGUCGCCGCCUGUCAGUCGAAGCACUCCUCGCCGCCACGCGCGCGGAGGGGAGCCCGCGCGGAUAUUUGGGUUAAAUAGCACCUCAUACGGCGGGUUUAUCAAGAUAGCGGAAGCUCCAUCGCGAGGUCGAGGCAGAUGGGGUGCGCCGAGGGGUUGAUGCCUUGAGGGGCUGAUUGAUUGAUUCAGAUUGAAGUUGUGGGAAUCAACGAUGGGUAGAGUGCGAUGGAUGUCUAGUCCAUGGACAGUGUGAUAGUCCGGAUGAGUAAAGGUGGGCGCCAGAGUCCUGUGGAGGAAACAUUGAACAUGUGUUGAGGGAUGAAGGUAAUAAUGUAUUGGACAAGUCUGAUUUCCUGCACGUUGAUCCCAAUGUAUGUCAAGGUUUCUCAAUCAUGUGUUUUUCUGAAAAUAAUGUAAUAUGCCUUAUUUUGUUACGGGGCAUGUAAUCGUUACAUUCUUUUCAAGUCUAUUUGAGUGAGGAAGUUUGUUA